AGGGGCAGCAUGAACUUAGCUUGCUAAGUUUGAUGGCGACCGGCGCACGGGUGAGUAACACGUAUCCAACCUGCCGAUGACUCGGGGAUAGCCUUUCGAAAGAAAGAUUAAUACCCGAUGGCAUAGUUCUUCCACAUGGUCGAACUAUUAAAGAAUUUCGGUCAUCGAUGGGGAUGCGUUCCAUUAGAUAGUAGGCGGGGUAACGGCCCACCUAGUCUUCGAUGGAUAGGGGUUCUGAGAGGAAGGUCCCCACAUUGGAACUGAGACACGGUCCAAACUCC
rnacentral:rRNA from 1 species